GAAAUGCGAUAAGUAGUGUGAAUUGCAGAAUUCAGUGAAUCAUCGAAUCUUUGAACGCAGAUUGCGCCCCUUGGUAUUCCAUGGGGCAUGCCUGUUCGAGCGUCAUUUGUACCCUCAAGCUCUGCUUGGUGUUGGGUGUUUGUCCCGUCUCCGCGCGUGGACUCGCCCCAAAGUGAUUGGCAGCCGGCGUACUGGUCCCGGAGCGCAGCACAUGUCGCGCAAACGAGUGCCUUGGUACGGCGGCGUCCAUAAGCCCCUCUCUCACGCUCUUGACCUCGGAUCAGGUAGGGAUACCCGCUGAACUUAAGC
rnacentral:misc_RNA from 1 species